GUAAAGAGACCUACUGCGAAGCAGGUUUUUACUAUACUAGAUUUGCCUCACGCUCGCACCGACCAAAAUUUGAGCGUAGGGCUUUUU
rnacentral:ncRNA from 17 species